GAUGAACGCUAGCGGCAGGCCUAACACAUGCAAGUCGAGGGGGAAGUUACUUUCGGGUGACUGAGACCGGCGUACGGGUGCGUAACGCGUAUACAAUCUGCCUUUCACUGGGGGAUAGCCCGAAGAAAUUUGGAUUAAUACCCCAUAGUAUAUAGGGACGGCAUCGUUUUUAUAUUAAAGCUUAGGUGGUGAAAGAUGAGUAUGCGUUCUAUUAGCUAGUUGGAGAGGUAACGGCUCCCCAAGGCGAUGAUAGAUAGGGGUUCUGAGAGGGAUGUCCCCCACACUGGUACUGAGAUACGGACCAGACUCCUACGGGAGGCAGCAGUGAGGAAUAUUGGACAAUGGUCGGAAGACUGAUCCAGCCAUGCCGCGUGCAGGAUGAAGGUCUUAUGGAUUGUAAACUGCUUUUGAAAGGGAAGAAUAAGGGCUACGCGUAGUUUGAUGACGGUACCUUACGAAUAAGCAUCGGCUAACUCCGUG
rnacentral:rRNA from 1 species